rnacentral:tRNA from 1 species
GUCUUCGUAGUGCAGUUCCAAGCAUGUCUAGCUGGCUAUCGGAAAACCGGGGUUCAAAUCCCUGUGAGGGCA